rnacentral:rRNA from 1 species
AUUGAACGCUGGCGGCAUGCCUUACACAUGCAAGUCGAACGGUAACAGGUCUUCGGAUGCUGACGAGUGGCGAACGGGUGAGUAAUACAUCGGAACGUGCCCGAUCGUGGGGGAUAACGGAGCGAAAGCUUUGCUAAUACCGCAUACGAUCUACGGAUGAAAGCAGGGGACCGCAAGGCCUUGCGCUAUCAGAUGAGCCUAGGUCGGAUUAGCUAGUAGGUGAGGUAAUGGCUCACCUAGGCGACGAUCCGUAACUGGUCUGAGAGGAUGAUCAGUCACACUGGAACUGAGACACGGUCCAGACUCCUACGGGAGGCAGCAGUGGGGGAAUAUUGGACAAUGGGCGAAGCCUGAUCCAGCCAUGCCGCGUGUGUGAAGAAGGUCUUCGGAUUGUAAAGCACUUUAAGUUGGGUAGGAAGGGUAGUAACCUAAUACGUUGCUACUUUGACGUUACCGACAGAAUAAGACACCGGC